rnacentral:pre_miRNA from 1 species
GUAGUACUUCCUCCGUUUGGAAUUACUUGUCUCGAAAAUGGAUAUAUCUAGAACUAAAAUACGUCUAGAUACAUCCACUUCUACGACAAGUAAUUCCGAACGGAGGGAGUACUAG